rnacentral:lncRNA from 1 species
UUUUUGAUCCAGGAGGGAAAGAGAGAGGAGGUCACUGGUUGAUUCUUUGCCACGCUUCUGACUCCUGGGCUUUUAUUGAUAAAAGAAUAAAUAGAUAAACGCUUCAGAUGUGUGUCCCCCCCCCCCCCAGAGAAGCUGUUACUGCUACUGAGUCAGGCCGCAGGCACAGAGUUAAGCUGCAAAAGUAGGAGAGGUUGCAGAGACCAAGGACAGGGUUAGAUCCAGGUGAACAAAAGGAUGGAUAGUUGGAUGUCAGAUCCAGAGGAAAGAGCAGACUGACAGACAGACAGACAGAUCCGAGUAAGACCAAUCAACAACAGGAAACAAGCUGAGCUGACGCCCCUGGGACACUCCAGUGUUUGCUGCCUGUGUACCAGUUAUCACAUGACAGGUCAACAUCACAGUGCUUCUUUUCAUGGAGCCCAGGAGAAGAGUUGCUCCCAUUCUUCAGCCUGAUACAUCUGGACUGCUGCCUUCAAGAUGCUGCUGCCAUAUUCAAGUUAGGUUUUCUUACCUCAAUUAGCCUAACACAAUGCCUCACAGACACACCUAGAGGCUAACCUAAUAUGGAUAACCCCUCAGGCAUGUCAUAGGCUUGUCUCCUCGGUGACUCUAGAGACUGUAACGUUGACAAUCAAUAUCUACCAUUAUCCAUCCUCCCAAAUGACUCUACAUUGUGUCAAGUUGACAAAAAAAAAAAAAAAUCAGCCUGAAUGCCGGACAGUGGUGGAGCACAUGGACCUCUGAGUUAAAGGCCAGCCUGGUCUAUAGAGUGAGUUCCUGGAUAGCAAGGGUUACACAGAGAAACCCUGAAAAAAAAAAGAAAGAAAGAAAGGAAAAGAAAAAGAAAAUUGCCUGCACAAACAGUUUUUGUCUUAACUGCUAAGACAUCCAGACCCAUCAGUUUUUCUCCUUUGACUGUCAUCUAUUAAUAUGGGC